AUGUCGCCUCUCCGGCAGGCGGGCCGCCGCGCCGCCCCCCUCGUUCCGCCGCCGGCAGCCCCGUCCGUGUCUCGUUCCCAGAACCAGCAAUGUCUUCCUCCAUGGGACGAACCAUUCUUCCCUCCCAGUCGCCACCGCUGCCUGCCUCUCCUCUGGGCUGGCGUCAGGGCUCGGAUGAUUUCCACUUCUCUCGAGCAUCAUGAUUUUACGUGGAAGACUAGUAUGGCUUCGAGAUUCAUGCAAACCGAUAUUGUAAAUGCUCUUCGUAAAGGUGAUCGGCAGCGAGCAUCCAUUAUGCUCUCGAAUCUUCAACAAACCAAAGAAGCAUUAACUUCAGAAGAUUUUUCUUAUAUACUGGAGUACUGUGCAGAAGCACCUGAUCCUUUGUUUGUUAUGGAGACAUUGGAGCUCAUGAAUGUGAAGUCCAUAGAUAUUAGUAAAAGCCAUUACAGAUCCGUCACUCGAGCACUCAGCCAAGGAGGGUAUUCGAAGGAGGCACUUAAAUUGCUCACUCUUCUAGGGGAAAAAGAAUGCUCAUACGCUGCUUUGCCGAUUUUCAACAUCUUUUUGAGUGCCUGUAGCACAAAUCUGAAUGAUGCUGAGAGCUGUCUAGAGAUAAUGGAAAAUCAUCUUCUUGGGAAGUCUGAAAUAACAUUCUGUGAGCUUCUGAAGGUCGUAGUUUUGCAGAGAAAUUUGUCUGCAGUUCAUGAUUUAUGGAAGGACUGCACUAGGUAUUACAGUCCAAGCAUUGUGACUCAGAGGAAAUUUGUGAAGGCUUUCUCUACACUAGGUGACCUUCAAUCUGCAUAUCGUAUCUUGCAGCGUAUGGUAGUCCUUGCCGGAGAACGCACUGACCAUCUGAGGGUAUCUUCUAAAAGGAGAUGCCAAUCAACAAGAUUAGACAUUCCUGUACCUGCUUUGCAUGAAGUAGAAGAUCUCAAACUUGUAUCGGACUAUGAUCUGACAUCAUCAUCUCAAGGGAAGAUGGGAACUGAAGAAUGCUUGAUUGAUGCUCAGCCGGAGCUGUUACGGGUGGAAACUCAAUCAUCAAAACAUGAGCAAUUGAAGGGUUAUGUGUCAUUUAUUUCUGAUGGUGACAAUCUUGGUGACAAUUCUGAACCAGACAAUGGGAGGAUGCCAAAGACAUUGAGUUCUGCACCCAUUGCAGUGAAGAAUGUUUUGCGAUGGGCUUUCAAUGAUAUCAUACAUGCAUGCGUGUACCUUGACAACUGCCAGUUGUCUGAGCAAUUAUUUCUAGAGAUGCACAAGAUUGGACUGCGACCAUCAAGAUUUACAUAUGAUGGUUUUAUCAAGUGUGUGAUAGCCGGGAAAGGAGUUGCACAUGCCAUCAAAGUGAUCGAAGUGAUGGAUAGAAGAGGUAUCAGGCCUUACGACAGUACACUCGUUGCGCUUUCCGUUGACCAUAGCAAAAGCUUACAGUUGGAUCUGGCUGAGCAUUUCUUGGGAAGAAUUUCAGAUAUACAACCGGAGCAUAUACAUGCUUUUAAUGCUUUGCUUUCUGGUUGUGACAUUAUGAAUGAACCAGAAAGAGCUCUCCGCAUACUAGCGAAAAUGAGGCGCUUGGAUUUGAAGCCACAUAUCUGGACCUAUGAAAUUAUGUUUUCUCUGUUUGGCAAUGUCAAUGUUCCUUAUGAAGAAGGAAAUAUGCUAUCACACGCUGAUGUUUCCAAAAGGAUAAGCAUAAUUGAGAUGGACAUGUUAAACCAUGAGAUUCGACAUAGUUUUGUGUCUAUGAAGAACUUGAUACGAGCCUUUGGAGCCGAGGGAAUGAUAGAUGAAAUGCUGAGGUACUUGAAUGUUGCUGAGAAUGUUUUAUGGAACAUGGAUCCUUAUCAGAAGAGUGAUCUCUACGGCAUUGUGCUGCAUGCUUUGGUUAAAGCAAAGGAAACACCUAAGGCAAUAAGGACCUUCAAGAUCAUGAGAUCAUGGGGUCUCCCAACCAAUACUGCCAUUUAUAACAUCAUGAUAGAGUGCUGCAAAUUGUUGCCGUGUGUCAAAUCAGCUGGAGCUUUGUUGUCCUUGAUGUUCCGAGAUGGCUGCUGUCCUACGGUUGUGACUUUCACAUCUCUCCUGAAGGUUGUAUUAGCAAAAGAGGAUUUUGAGGGGGCACUGGAUCUGCUGGACUUGUGCAUAACUGAAGGAAUUCAACCUGACAUUGAGAUUUUCAACACAAUACUCUCAGAAGCGAAUGCAAAAGGUAAUAUUCAUGUUGUUGAAUACAUUAUUGAGUGUAUUCACAGAGCAAAGAUUCGACCCGAUGAAUCAACGCUUUGGUACACAUUUUGUGCCUACGUGGACCAAGAAUUGUACAACACCGCCCUCGAGGCAUUGCAAGUCCUCAGUAUGAGAAUGAUAUCCUUGGACGCGAGCAUUCUCAAGGAGAAAGGAGCAGCUUUAGAGGAUCUAAUCCUCAGCGAAGAUCCAGAUGCUGAAUUGAAGAUCAUUAGGACAUUCGAAGCAACCGAAGAAUGCAGCGCCGCAGCCUUACUGAACCUGAGGUGGUGCGUGACGAUGGGUUCCACCAUAUCCUGGUCUCCCAAGGACAAUCUCUGGGCGAGGAGGCUGGCAUCGUCUUACGAUGCUAACAAGAGACCCGUGUCAUGA
rnacentral:rRNA from 1 species